AGUUUUCGGUUAAAUCUAUACGCUCAACGUACAGGCUGCCGGGAAUACUGUAGAGCUAGGGAGUGGGAGAGGUAGACGGUACUCGGGAGGAAGGGGUAAAAUCCUUUGAUCUCUCGAUGACCACCUGUGGCGAAGGCGGUCUACCAGAACACGUCCGACGGUGAGGGAUGAAAGCUGGGGGAGCAAACCGGAUUAGAUACCCGGGUAGUCCCAGCCGUAAACUAUGCAAACUCAGUGAUGCAUUGGCUUGUGGCCAAUGCAGUGUUGCAGGGAAGCCGUUAAGUUUGCCGCCUGGGAAGUACGUACGCAAGUAUGAAACUUAAAGGAAUUGGCGGGGGAGCACCACAAGGGGUGAAGCCUGCGGUUCAAUUGGAGUCAACGCCAGAAAUCUUACCCGGAGAGACAGCAGAAUGAAGGUCAAGCUGAAGACUUUACCAGACAAGCUGAGAGGUGGUGCAUGGCCGUCGCCAGCUCGUGCCGUGAGAUGUCCUGUUAAGUCAGGUAACGAGCGAGAUCCCUGCCUCUAGUUGCCACCAUUACUCUCAGGAGUAGUGGGGCGAAUUAGCGGGACCGCCGCAGUUAAUGCGGAGGAAGGAAGGGGCCACGGCAGGUCAGUAUGCCCCGAAACUCUGGGGCCACACGCGGGCUGCAAUGGUAAUGACAAUGGGUUCCGAAUCCGAAAGGAGGAGGUAAUCCCCAAACAUUACCACAGUUAUGACUGAGGGCUGCAACUCGCCCUCACGAAUAUGGAAUCCCUAGUAACUGCGUGUCAUUAUCGCGCGGUGAAUACGUCCCUGCUCCUUGCACACACCGCCCGU
rnacentral:rRNA from 1 species